rnacentral:tRNA from 1 species
ACCUGGGUGUCUCAGUUGGUUGAGUGCCUGACUUUGGCUCAGGUCAUGAUCUCCCCGUCUGUGGGUUCGAGCCCCACAUUGGGCU